rnacentral:rRNA from 1 species
CGAGCCUGAUGCAGCCAUGCCGCGUGUAUGAAGAAGGCCUUCGGGUUGUAAAGUACUUUCAGUUGUGAGGAAGGGGGUGUCGUUAAUAGCGGCAUCUCUUGACGUUAGCAACAGAAGAAGCACCGGCUAACUCCGUGCCAGCAGCCGCGGUAAUACGGAGGGUGCGAGCGUUAAUCGGAAUUACUGGGCGUAAAGCGCAUGCAGGUGGUUCAUUAAGUCAGAUGUGAAAGCCCGGGGCUCAACCUCGGAACUGCAUUUGAAACUGGUGAACUAGAGUACUGUAGAGGGGGGUAGAAUUUCAGGUGUAGCGGUGAAAUGCGUAGAGAUCUGAAGGAAUACCAGUGGCGAAGGCGGCCCCCUGGACAGAUACUGACACUCAGAUGCGAAAGCGUGGGGAGCAAACAGGAUUAGAUACCCUGGUAGUCCACGCCGUAAACGAUGUCUACUUGGAGGUUGUGGCCUUGAGCCGUGGCUUUCGGAGCUAACGCGUUAAGUAGACCGCCUGGGGAGUACGGUCGCAAGAUUAAAACUCAAAUGAAUUGACGGGGGCCCGCACAAGCGGUGGAGCAUGUGGUUUAAUUCGAUGCAACGCGAAGAACCUUACCUACUCUUGACAUCCAGAGAAGCCAGCGGAGACGCAGGUGUGCCUUCGGGAGCUCUGAGACAGGUGCUGCAUGGCUGUCGUCAGCUCGUGUUGUGAAAUGUUGGGUUAAGUCCCGCAACGAGCGCAACCCUUAUCCUUGUUUGCCAGCGAGUAAUGUCGGGAACUCCAGGGAGACUGCCGGUGAUAAACCGGAGGAAGGUGGGGACGACGUCAAGUCAUCAUGGCCCUUACGAGUAGGGCUACACACGUGCUACAAUGGCGCAUACAGAGGGCAGCGAACUUGCGAGAGUGAGCGAAUCCCAAAAAGUGCGUCGUAGUCCGGAUUGGAGUCUGCAACUCGACUCCAUGAAGUCGGAAUCGCUAGUAAUCGUAGAUCAGAAUGCUACGGUGAAUACGUUCCCGGGCCUUGUACACACCGCCCGUCACACCAUGGGAGUGGGCUGCAAAAGAAGUGGGUAGUUUAACCUUUCGGGGAAGACGCUCACCAUUUGGGGUUCAUGACUGGGAGACG